GGGGGGCGGAUGAAAUCAGGAAAGGUGGUGCAGGUUAUUUGAGCAUAUUUUUGUUGUUGCUCAGCGUGGCUUGACAGUAUCCCACCCACCCCAGCCCUUUUAUGUUUAUUAGUAGAGAGUAGGGGAGCAGAACGGUUUUGGACUGGGUAUAUGUACUUGUUAUAGUGAUUAUGUAGUGAGUAAUUGUAAUGUAUGGUAGUUUAAUAAAUGUCAAGCUUGCGGCUGACGCUGCAGCAGCUCCCAGCGGUGUGUGAGAACUCACACUUUCAUUGUAGAGGUUAAGAUUUGAAUUCUACUAGCACUAUCUCUGACUGCCUUAGUAUGCAUCUGAUUGGUUAUAAUGGUUGAUGGAAUAUAUCAAAUGCAUUUGAUGGUCCCUUAAUGGUAAUGGUAAUGGUAGUCAAAUCUGAACCUCUAUAAUGUCAAUGAAGAAUGCAUACCGGAAAAGUAUCAAGUUAAAUUUUAAUUGUCAAUGUUGUGGAAAGUAAAUAAAUCAAACAAUUCUGUUUGUUUCAACUACCGGUAACUAGUUCACUAUUACUUUGGUUUUCAAAUCAAAGAAUCUUUAGCCUGGUUGAGCUUUUGAAAAAGUAGCUACUUUAUUGAACGCAAGAUUAUUUUACUCUGUCUAACACCAGACAAUUUCACUCGUCAACGGGAAAGUGCUGCCACUCAGUGAACUCAAUCAGAGCUCAAUGAGCAGCAGCACUCUCCCUCGAUAAGUAAAAUCAUCUGGCAUUAGAUGAAGUGAAAUAAACUAGUAAAGUAGGGUGCAUUGGGGCACAAUGCAGCUUACUGGGUUAACUGGAAAAUAUAUUUAUUUAAACAAUACACACCCUAUACUUGUAUUUCAAUUCAUAGCAUGAUUUGCUAUGCUUAUGUCUAUUUGACCCAAGUACCAGACAGGAAUGAUAUUUGAAUCACACCUGUAUUCAUUGAACAAAGCUAAUUUAAAUGUGCAUUAAUUGUACAUGAAUCAUGUAAAUGUAAAAACUAGAGCAAAAACACACCCACACAGCUUUGUUUUUUCUUGAGAAGGAAUAACUGAGUUACAAUGAGACCAGUAUCAACAAUUUCAAAAAGGUAUUGUACAAAAAUAUUACAAACAUAAGACACUUUAAAGACAGAAAACACACAAAGUAUGUCACUACAGAAACUGUAUUCUGUGAUAUAGACGAUAUUGCUUUAAGGAAACUUGCAGCUCUUAAGGGCCUGUUUAUAUCGAAACUGGCUGGCCCGCUAAGUGAGACAGCCCGGUAAGUGAGAUCUCGCUGUCUACUUAUUUUUAUAGUAAUAAUUAUAAUUAAAAUUGUUUCUAUGUACAAGCGGGAGGCCCGGUUGCAGAGACCAGGAUGAAAAUUUCUCCAUAUAAACAAUCACAAGCAGGCCAGCCCGGUUGCCAGGAUGAAAGUUCAACGAUACUGCUGCAAGCUAUUUUUAACAACUGUCAAAACAACAAAAUUGUCCCGGUAAGCGGGACGAAAUUUUCUCAAAUAAACACAAGAGAAAUCAUCCUGCUUAUCUACCUUACUGGGCUGUCUUGCUAAGCGGGCAGCCCGGCUUCCAUACAAACAGGCCCUAACAGUCUCUGUCAGGCAAUUACAAUGUUCUAAUGUCCAAACUCUAAAGUAUUACAAACAAGCAGGACAGACCACUUAUUGCAAGUUGCUAGUAUUAAAGUCAUAUCAACAUGUGAUAUCGACAUUACAGUGUAUAAACUAAAGUAAUUCAGCUUCUACACAUGAAGCAACUUUAAACACUAUCCUUACACUUUAUCAAUUCAUUAAAGUUUGUCAUUCUAUUUGUAGUAUUACAUCACAAGACAUAUUCUAUUUGUAGUAUCAAGUCACAGGAUUUUAUAAUCUAGCGUUUUUGGACCCAAGUGAUCUAGAGUUCUAUCUUGUUAAAACCUAUCCAAGGAAAAACAAGAAAGGGAUAUUGAAGUAAUGGUGUUUUUGAGCCAAAUAAAUUCGAAUAUCCACCAGUAUAAAAGCAGUACUCCGUAUAUACUGGAGACAAAAUGGCAUCAUAGCGAACACAUUUUAAUGAUGCUAAAAUUUAUAUUUAGUGCGCUAUUUUCUUUAAAAUAUGACCCUGUUUGCUUUCUAAAUACAACAAAAUUACUGCUUUACCUUCUGUUCAAAUAGUUCCACAGAUAAAUCGAAGUCACAUUUCAUACUACUUGAAAAAAAGCUGUUUUUACUGUAGGAAUGACAACUUCCCAAUGUAAUUUUCUAUUGUCAACAUUGCAUUACACUUGUUUAGCUCGCGCAUGCGCAAUAAAAAAGAUAGGACAUGUUUCCGCUUGAGUAAGACUUCUGGUAUUAGUGAGCUUAAGCAAGUGACGUUUUUGACAACACGAACGGCAUGAGUAACGUCAGAAGACUGGGUCAAGGGCUGUGAUUGGUGAAAAACGUCAACUUUACUUCCGGUCGACGUCCGUGUUGUCAAAAACGUCACUUGCUUAAGCUCACUAAUAUCUCUUCUGUGCCCUGGCGAAAACCAAAACCGGAACUUCAAAAAUCUUGUAGUUUGCCGGAAGUAAACUUAAUAAAAAUGCUGACUCUGCAUCUUUUUUUGCAAGGAGUGAACUUUAAGAAUUUCUCGAAAGAAAUAAUGUUUUACAUGCAAGAUAAACAUUAAUUCGUUCUGGUUAUUUCACCAUUAAAUGUUUUAAUGAUUGACCAAAUCAGAAAACUAAAGGAUCAUCUAAAUGUUUCAAUUAUGAAAGCUGUUCAAGUUGAUGAAUCGAAGGAUACAAUGUGUAGUUUGGGAGAGUCAUUGUAUACGGACAGCAAUCAAUUUGAAUUUUUAUUAUAAUCGACGAAAUAUACAGACAAUUUAAAAGCAAUUGUUGUGGACGAAGCCCAAUCUUAUUAGUGAAUGGUGAGUGAGUGAUACUGAUAUAUUUGGUUGUUUCUCAAUAUUCUUUCUUUGCUAUAUUAAUGGUUAUCUGCAAGACUGUACACAUUCAGACAACAUAUAUUCUGUUUAAUACGUCCGGUCUAAACGCUGCAUUUUACAUGUGCCAAGUCUAGAAAAGUUUGUUCAACCUUUUAAGUGCUACCAAAUUAUUUUACUCAGCUUAACAUGCCAGAUGAUUGAGUGUACUGAUCAAUGUGAGAGUACUACUGCUCAAUGCAUGGGUUAAUCAGAUUAUCUAUUGUACUUUACUAUCUUACUGUCUAAUGUCAGACAAUUUUGCUCAUCAAGGGGAGAGUGGGUAUAAUUGCAAAGUAAUUACUUUGCCACUUUGGACAAAUGUAUAAGUUACAUAUGUUUACUACGUACCGGUAUGUACAUAAAUUCAACAUUUAAAUCAAAAUGUCAAACUUUAUUAUUUGAAUCAAACUUUAUUAUUUGAGUCAAACCAUGUAAAUUCACAUUAGAUUUGGCACAUGUAAAAUGCGGCAUUUAGACAGAGACAAUGAGCAUAAAAACCUGAAAUAUUAUGUGCAUCCCACCCACUCACCCUUGCCUCCCCCCCCCCCACCUUAAUCUUGGUAUCCCCAGAUAAUGAUUGUUUGUAGGAUAUACAACUACCUGUAAGGUAUGGUGUGACUGCAUACUACAAGCUAGUAUCAUAUUCAGUUUAAUACAUAUAUAUGACUUGAAAUAUGUAUUUUCUUGCCAGCCAUUUUCAAUCAUAAAAUUAUCCAUGUUGCUGUUAAAUUAUGAUUGGCCUAAUAUUUUUGCCUAAAGAUUGUUUUAAUUUAUAAACAUUGUACUACUACUUUAGGAAGGAUUUCAGGCCUUGCUAUGAAAGGAUUGGUAUAUCGGGAAGUUUGUUUCUUCAUCAACUCAGAGAAAGAAGUUGCAUCAACUCAGAGAAAGAAAGAAAUUUCAUCAACUCAGAGAAAGAAAGAAAUUACAUGAACAAAAUAAACAAUUUUGUGUCAUUGAUAUAAAUAAUGAUUUAUUCUUACAAUUUCCUCUAUGAAAAUUUGGUGUGUUAAUAAAGAUACUGUAAAAAAUAAAUAACAGCUUUAUGGUGCAUCCAUGCUGUGCUUUAAUAUUGCAGUGCAUGGUGUAGGAAAUGGAGGUGUGUGGGUACCAGUGUGCUUGUGUGUGGAGGCCGGAUGCUCCAGGAGUUCCCCGACAAGGAAUAUCAGGUUUCCCGACAAGGAAUAUCAGGUUCCCAACAGGGGGCUAUAAUCUUUCAAACAGUAAAAUUAUUGUUUUGUAUGUUCAACUUAUGCUCACACAUGAAAAUGUUGGCUCUCAUGAAAUGGUGCAGAAUUUAUUGUCUGUAACAGUGCAUUUACAAGCACUACAAAACAAGGUCAUUACAAAACAUAAUUUUUCCCAGUACAAAGCAAAGUUGCAGUAUUACUA
rnacentral:lncRNA from 1 species